UGGGAUGAAGCUCAGUGGCAGAGCACCUGCCUAGCAUGCACAAGGCUCUGGGCUCCAUCCCCAGCACUGCAA
rnacentral:tRNA from 1 species